rnacentral:rRNA from 1 species
AAUCGAACCCGGAGAUAGCUGGUUCUCCUCGAAAUAGCUUUAGGGCUAGCCUCAUGGAUCAUUGGUGGGGGUAGAGCACUGAAUGUGCGCGGGGGCCACAAAGCCUACCAAACGCUAUCAAACUUCGAAUACCAUACAAUGCAGACCAUGGGAGUCAGUCCGCGAGAGAUAAGUUCCGCGGGCAAAAGGGGAACACCCCAGAUCAACCGCUAAGGUCCCCAAGUUCACGUUAAGUGGAGAAGGAUGUGGAAUUGCACAGACAACCAGGAUGUUGGCUCAGAAGCAGCCACACAUUUAAAGAGUGCGUAAUAGCUCACUGGUCGAGUGAUUGUGCGCCGAAGAUGUCCGGGGCUAAACGUGACACCGAAGCGAUGGGUGCAUCUGAAAGGAUGCGCGGUAGAGGAGCAAUGUGCAGAGGCAGAAGCCGUAUCGAGAGGCACGGUGGACACUGCACAAGAGAGAAUGCCGGUAUGAGUAGCGAGAGGCAUGCGAGAAACAUGCCCGUCGAAAGCCCAAGGUUUCCUGGGGAAGGUUCAUCCGCCCAGGGUAAGUCGGGGCCUAAGCCGAGGACGGAAGUCGUAGGCGAUGGACAGCAGGUGUAGAUUCCUGCACUACCGAUGGAAUGAAGCAGUGACACAGAAGGAUAACUCGAGCAGGGUGAUGGUCAACCCUGUGCAAGCAUCAAGGUUGGGUUGUAGUGAAGUACGCAAUCCUAUAAGCUGAGGUGUGAUGCGGACCGAAAUUUCAGUAGGGAAGCGAGUGAGUUCACGCUGGCGAGAAAAGCUGCUAGUACAUCCAAAGGUACCCGUACCGGAAACCGACGCAGGUGGGCGAGGAGAGAAUCCUGAGACGAACGGGAGAACCCUUGUUAAGGAACUCGGCAAAAUGACCCCGUAACUUCGGGAUAAGGGGUGCCUGCGAGAGCAGGCCGCAGAGAAUAGUCACAAGCGACUGUUUAGCAAAAACACAGGUAUCUGCGAAAGCGAGAGCUGACGUAUAGGUGCUGACACCUGCCCGGUGCUGGAAGGUUAAGGGAACAUGUUAGAGCAAUCGAAGCAUCGAACCGAAGCCCCAGUAAACGGCGGCCGUAACUAUAACGGUCCUAAGGUAGCGAAAUUCCUUGUCGGGUAAGUUCCGACCCGCACGAAUGGUGUAACGACUUGUGAGCUGUCUCAACAGGGGGCCCGGUGAAAUUGAAGUAUGGGUGAAGAUGCCCAUUACCCGCGACUGGACGGAGAGACCCCGUAGAGCUUUACUGCAGCCUGAUAUUGAGUUUCGGUAACUGAUGCACAGGAUAGGUGGGAGUCUGAGAGACAUGGGUUUCGGCUCGUGUGGAGACGCUGUUGGGAUACCACUCUUCGGUUACUGAAAUUCUAACAUAGCUCUGUGAAACCAGAGGAUGGACAGUGUCAGGUGGACAGUUUGACUGGGGCGGUCGCCUCCGAAAGAGUAACGGAGGCGCCCAAAGGUACCCUCAGAAUGGAUGGAAACCAUUCGAAGAGCGCAAAGGCAGAAGGGUGCCUGACUGCGAGAGUGACAACUCGAGCAGAGACGAAAGUCGGGCUUAGUGAUCCGGCGGUAUUGAGUGGAAAAGCCGUCGCUUAACGGAUAAAAGCUACCUCGGGGAUAACAGGCUGAUCUCCCCCAAGAGUCCACAUCGACGGGGAGGUUUGGCACCUCGAUGUCGGCUCGUCGCAUCCUGGGGCUGAAGCAGGUCCCAAGGGUUUGGCUGUUCGCCAAUUAAAGCGGCACGCGAGCUGGGUUCAGAACGUCGUGAGACAGUUCGGUCCCUAUCCAUCGUGGGCGUAGGAGUCAUGAGAGGAGCUGUUCCUAGUACGAGAGGACCGGAAUGGACGCACCACUGGUGCAACUGUUGUCGUGCCAACGGCAUAGCAGGGAAGCGAAGUGCGGAUGGGAUAAACGCUGAAGGCAUCUAAGCGUGAAGCCCACCUCAAGAAUAAGACUCCACAAUAGACCCCUGGAGGACUACCAGGUAGAUAGGUCAUCGGUGGAAGCGCUGUAAGGCGUGU